rnacentral:rRNA from 1 species
CCUACGGGUGGCUGCAGUGGGGAAUAUUGGACAAUGGGGGGAACCCUGAUCCAGCCAUGCCGCGUGUGUGAAGAAGGCCCUCGGGUUGUAAAGCACUUUCAGUGAGGAAGAACGCCUGGUGGUUAAUACCCAUCAGGAAAGACAUCACUCACAGAAGAAGCACCGGCUAACUCCGUGCCAGCAGCCGCGGUAAUACGGAGGGUGCGAGCGUUAAUCGGAAUUACUGGGCGUAAAGCGCGCGUAGGUGGCUUGAUAAGCCGGUUGUGAAAGCCCCGGGCUCAACCUGGGAACGGCAUCCGGAGCUGUCAAGCUAGAGUGCAGGAGAGGAAGGUAGUAUUCCCGGUGUAGCGGUUAAAUGCGUUGGGAUCGGGAGGGAUACCCGUGGCUGAGGCGGCCUUCUGGACUGACACACACCCUGUGGUGCGAAAGCGUGGGUAGCAAACAGGCAUAGCAACCCGAGUAGUC